AGAGUUUGAUCCUGGCUCAGGAUGAACGCUAGCGGCAGGCUUAAUACAUGCAAGUCGAACGGUUACAGCAAUGCGACGAGUGGCGCACGGGUGAGUAACGCGUACAUAACAUACCUUUAACUGGCGAAUAGCCUUGGGAAACUGAGAGUAAUACGCCAUAACAUUGUAGCUUGGCAUCAGGCAGCAAUUAAAGUUCCGGCGGUUAGAGAUUGAUGUGCGUUGGAUUAGAUAGUUGGUGAGGUAACGGCUCACCAAGUCAACGAUCCAUAGGGGGCGUGAGAGCGUGGUCCCCCACACGGGUACUGAGACACGGACCCGACUCCUACGGGAGGCAGCAGUAAGGAAUAUUGGUCAAUGGGGGCAACCCUGAACCAGCCAUGCCGCGUGCGGGAUGAAGGCGUUCUGCGUCGUAAACCGCUUUUAGAGGGGAAUAAAUCCCGAUACGUGUAUCGGACUGAAGGUACCCUCGGAAUAAGCACCGGCUAACUCCGUGCCAGCAGCCGCGGUAAUACGGAGGGUGCAAGCGUUAUCCGGAAUCACUGGGUUUAAAGGGUGCGUAGGCGGUUUUGUAAGUCGGUAUUGAAAGUUUGCAGCUCAACUGUGAAAUUGGUAACGAUAC
rnacentral:rRNA from 1 species